GGGUGGAUGAGGGAUAGAUGGAUGGAUGGAUGGAUGGGUGGAUGAGGGAUAGAUGGGUGGAUGGAUGGAUGGUGAUGGAUGGAUGGAUGAGGGAUAGAUGGAUGGUGAUGGAUAGAUGGGUGGGUGGAUGAGGGAUAGGUGGAUGGAUAGAUGGAUGGAUGGGUGGGUGGAUGAUGGAUGGAUGGAUGGGUGGAUGGGUGGAUGAGGGAUAGAUGGAUGGAUGGGUGGAUGAGGGAUAGAUGGAUGGUGAUGGAUAGAUGGGUGGAUGGAUGGAUGGAUAGGUGGAUGGGUGGAUGGAUGGAUGGAUGGAUGGGUGGAUGAGGGAUAGAUGGAUGGUGAUGGAUGGAUGGGUGGAUGGAGGGGCAGAUAGAUGGAGGGAUUAUUGCCUUACAGUUCUUUGAGGUAUAUGUGGGCUCCUUGCCU
ensembl:lncRNA